rnacentral:tRNA from 1 species
GUGGGCGUAGCUCAAACGGGAGAGCGCGAGCGCGCCAUGCUCGAGGUUGGGAGUUCAAACCUCCUCGCCCACU